AAGAAUUUAAAUUUAAAAAUUUUAAAUAAAAGAGUUAAAAUUUAAAAGUAUUAAUAAUAAAAGGAUUUAGACUAUUAAAAACAAUAUUAAACUCCUAGUCUAUUAAAUUUUUUAUCUAUUUUAGAAAAUUAAAAUUUUGAAAAAUUAAAAAAAUGAAAUCAAACGAUGAAACUUUAGCAAUACUCAAUUUAAACGAGGAUUGUAAUAUGAGCAUAGUUGUGAGUAUAAGAGUACAUGAGUUUGUUAUCAUUAUAAGAAAAUAUAAUUUACUUGUGUUAAAACAUAUUAUCCUCGGACAUAAGGAUUAGUUAAAGCUAUCGGCAGUUCCAACAAAAAAAAUUGUAUAAGAAUUUAAUAUUAAAUAAAAUAUAUAUUUAAUUAGAUUCUACGAAUAGAAACUCUAAAAUUACAAAUAUAUAUAUAUCUUCUUUGAUAAAAAGAAUACUUAAUCAAAAUUCAAAAUUCUCAUAUACGGAACCAAAAAUCCAAAGAAAGAGAAGAAAAUGUUGGAAGUUAAAGAAAUUCAAAUAGAAAAUAGACUUCUCCAGUCCUUAAAAUACAUGAUUAGCCUAAAUUUACACAUUCAAAUUCCCAAACGUAGAUAGUAAAGCAACAACAGCAAAAAUUAGAAAAGGAUUCAAACCGAUCAUUUUCUCUAAUGAAAAGGGAAAAAAUAUUCGGAAAAUUGAAACUGAUCAGCAAGGAAGAAACCCGACUAAGGGAACCGAAGUAGCGAAGGACCGGCUAGCCGUCAUUACUGNNNNNN
rnacentral:lncRNA from 1 species